rnacentral:rRNA from 1 species
CCUACGGGUGGCAGCAGUGGGGGAUAUUGCACAAUGGGGGGAACCCUGAUGCAGCGACGCCGCGUGGGUGAAGGAGCGCCUCGGCGCGUAAAGCCCUGUCAGCAGGGAAGAAAAUGACCGUACCUUAAGAAGAAGCCCCGGCUAAAUUCGUGCCAGCCGCCGCGGUAAUACGUAGGGGGCCAGCGUUAUCCGGAUUUUCUGGGUGUAAAGGGGGCGCAGACGGCGAUGCAAGCCAGGAGUGAAAGGCCGGGGCCCAACCCCGGGACUUCUCUUGGAACUGGGUGGCUGGAGUGCAGGAGGGGCAGGCGGAAUUCCUGGUGUAGCGGUGAAAUGCGUAGAUAUUAGGAGGAACACCGGUGGCGAAGGCGGCCUGCUGGACUGUAACUGACGUUGAGGCUCGAAAGCGUGGGGAGCAAACAGGAUUAGAUACCCCAGUAGUC